UCUAAACUGAGACUGAAGCAGGAGGAGUUAGCCAAAUGCCUCUGUCUGCAAAUCAGAGAAAAUCCCCAAACAGAGAUUCUGUUAGAAAAGAAGAGUGGUGAAAGGUCGCAGGGAAAGCGGCCAGUAGGAUGUGCUACAGUCAUUAAGCUCGAGGUUCAAAUUACUUAACAAAUUAAAAGAAUUCUUUCAACAGAAGAAGUACAACAAACAAGUACAGGAACGUGUGCUGGUUUGUACUGUAUCGACUCGACGUAGGUGGAACUACAUUUCCCAGAAUCCCUGGCCACAAAUGGCUCCACGCAGAGUUGGCCAAAAGAGGAAUUCACUUCAGACAGAGGAGGAGGAACUGCGGCAGUCGCUGAUUCUCUCUUCUUGGUUAGACGUGGUGACAGACACCGAUGCCAACUCGUCCUCACACCCCUCUGGUCCGUGUCCAGCUGUUUUUCCCAAACACUAAACUGACUGACCAACAAAGACCCCAGGCCCACACCAGACGCUUGGCAGGAGACAGAGAGGUGGCGUUCUGGAAAUAUUUAAUUAUUGACCAAUAAUGUUUUAGUAAGCUGUAAUAAUGCAGUAAACGAGUUAAGCUCCUCCUCACACAGUAGCUUCAAUGUAUUGAUAAUGUUCUACUAAUUUAUAGAUUUAUAUAACCUUUUGCAUGUAUCAAAUAUUACGUAACUUUUUUUAAAGAAUAAAGCACGUGACAGGGUAAUCAGUGAUAUUAAAUAUUUACAGAUAUUUAAAUAAGUUGAAACCACAAUGUCUGAACAAAAUAGUGAGCUAAGAAAUCCAUCUCCACCACUUCUUUAUUAUUUACCAAAUUAUUAUUUAGCAGUUUCAUUCACGGUGCAUGAAAACUCUCCAACAUCUAUAGCCACCUAUCUUUAAUAGGCAGCCAAACUCCUGAGUUUGAGAGCUAACCACCCAGAUGGCUUCUUAGUCUGUUUUGUUUUCAGAACUGAAAAAGUAGAUCUAGUGCUAGAACCCAUGACAGGUGUAUACAACAGGCUCAAUAGCUGUGUGUUAAAAAGAGUUGAUGAGUUAAGUCACCUUCAUAUUGGUAUCAGUCUGAUUCAACUCCUGUAGCAUCUGAGUUACCACAAGGUAAUAAAACAAAACAUCAAAGAAGAUAAGAAAUAUAAUUGCUAGUCCACUUUUGUGGAUUAAAAAAAAAAUAAGAUUCUGUGUUCUGUCCUGUUAUUUCUUGUGCUUAUCUCUGGCAAUGUCAUUCAAAGUCAUACAGUCUGGAUGAUUGCUUCCAUAUAGAUAACCCUCCAAGUCCUAUCUCUAACAUUGAACUUCCAGCAAAGUCAUAAUGCCCUAGACCCACAGGGCAGCAUUCUGUUCAACUGUGUGUGUUACCAGUGUUUACAGAGGACUUCCUAAGUUCCUGAGUUUACAAACUAUUAUCUCCAGCACUCCUAUGAAAUAGGUACUACUACACAGAUGCUGGUGUUGACAUGUACUAGAUGUGUAACCUUGGAAGGCUUAG